rnacentral:rRNA from 1 species
CCUACGGGUGGCAGCAGUGGGGAAUAUUGCACAAUGGGGGAAACCCUGAUGCAGCGACGCCGCGUGAGUGAAGAAGGAAUUCGUUACGUAAAGCUCUAGCAGCAGGGAAGAAAAUGACGGUACCUGAGUAAGAAGCCCCGGCUAACUACGGGCCAGCAGCCGCGGGAAGUCGUAGGGGGCAAGCGUUAGCCGGGUUUACUGGGUUGAAACGGAGCGGAGAGCGUGCGCGAAGUCUGGAGUGAAAUGCCGCAGCUUAACUGCGGAACUGCUUUGGAAACUGGCGAACUAGAGUGAGGGAGGGGUAAGCGGAAUUCCUAGUGUAGCGGUGAAAUGCGUAGAUAUUAGGAGGAACCCCGGUGGCGAAGGCGGCUUACUGGACCGUAACUGACGUUGAGGCUCGAAAGCGUGGGGAGCAAACAGGAUUAGAUACCCUAGUAGUC